CCUACGGGAGGCAGCAGUAGGGAAUCUUUCACAAUGGGCGAAAGCCUGAUGGAGCAACGCCGCGUGACGGAUGAAGGCCUUCGGGUUGUAAACUGCUUUUAUAAGCGAGCAAUAUGAUGGUAACUUAUGAAUAAGGAUCAGCUAACUACGUGCCAGCAGCCGCGGUCAUACGUAGGAUCCGAGCAUUAUCCGGAGUGACUGGGUGUAAAGAGUUGCGUAGGUGGCAUAAUAAGUAGCUAGUGAAAUCUGGUGGCUCAACCAUUCAGACUAUUAGCUAAACUGUUAAGCUCGAGACCGUUAGGGGUAACUGGAAUUUCUAGUGUAGGAGUGAAAUCCGUAGAUAUUAGAAGGAACACCAAUAGCGUAGGCAGGUUGCUGGGACGGUUCUGACACUAAGGCACGAAAGCGUAGGGAGCAAACGGGAUUAGAUACCCCAGUAGU
rnacentral:rRNA from 1 species